UUUGCUAAGUGCUUCACAUACAUGCUUUCAUUCAGGUCCACUCUCACUUUACAGAAGAGGAAGUUGGUAAACAAAGACUGAAUUGACGACUUGGCCCGGGGCACACAUCUGGCAAGUGCCAAAGCUGGAAUUUGAGAUCUGUCCAGCGGCGUGAUGCUCUCUGCCUGACCAGCACGGCGACCCCCAGAACAUCAGGAAAUCGAGAUCCUCUGGGCUGCAACCCAGCAAGAGAUCAAGAAAGGUCGUGUAGCCACGGUGCAAACGAGGAAACCUACAUUGCCGUCCUUGCUGUGUGACAGCGACUGCCUUGGGCGCCUCCUCCUUAUGAAAACUGGCAAAAAGCAUUCACCAAGUGCUAUCCUGCUGCAAUGAGUGUGGGAGAAACAGGAGAUGAGAAGAGAAGAACAAAAAGAUUCAAGAUCGGGUGAUGCUGCCCUGGCCUCUGCUUCAAGCCGCGCUGCGGAGAAACAGCCACUCUGCGUCUCCUGCGGUCGUGGGCUCCUCCACAGAGGCCCCACUCAGUGGGGGGCCACUGGGGCAGUGGGCGGCACGGUGGGGCGGGAGGAAUUUGACUCCCUGUCACUUCUGUAGCCUCCCGCGCCUGUGUCGCUCGCUCUGCAGGGAGCGAACGCCCCUCCGGUGGGUCUUGCUGUUCGCCCUUGGGCAGAUCCUGGGCAGCAGGUCCCACUUGGGACACGGUGGCUCGUCCACGUUGGGAGUAGGCAGAGGAGCCCCGAGUCAGCGUGCGCCCAGGGGCACAGCCUCACAGUCACAGCCGGCGGAGCCCCCGCCGUCCAGGGCAAGGCACCAGCUGGGACCCACAGAAGAGUCCCAAGGCUGGGGCUGUAGCAGCUGAGGCCCAGCACAGGCUGUGGGCUGGGGAGGCCAGCAAGGCUGGGAAAGACAAGGAGGCACAUGGACAUGUCUUACGCCACCAGGGUAGACAGAAGCCAGCCAGGGGGACUUUGUGUGAGGAGUAAGACCACAACACGGAUGGGGUGCGGUAAAGAUGUGAUCGAAGGUAUAGGGGACAGUUUGGGUCCCAAGAUAUCGUGAAGAUAAACGCAGGGUGACCUCAUCCAGAUAUGUGUCCAGUUCACCCCAGCGUGGCAAUGCCCAAGGUGAGGAAUCACCCAGGCUCCACUGGGCGGGAAGCAGGAAGCCGACAGGCCGAGUAUGUAAUGGGACCAGUGCUUGCCGUUUAGCACUCAGAGAUGUAUGCAAAUAUAUUUCUUAUAUUCAGAGUUCAGGCACAAGAAAGGUUGAAUUUGUAAACAAUUUGCAUCUGAAGCUUCCUCUAAAUGUCUGAGCAUGAAAAUUCAACUUAAGUAAUCAGCACGUUUGUGGAGACAGUCACAUGUGAAUAGGGUCUGCACCCGGUCACAGCGCAAUCAGCAGUUCUGUUCUGGGAGAGGCGGAAAAAGGGAAACAUGAUUCCUCUGGGUUUGCAGGGACAGGUACACUUAACCCAGGGAGGAGGGGUGGGGAGGCCUCCCAGAGAAGCCAGGGACAAGGACAGGUCAGGGGAGACCAAAGGUAUGACAAGGAGCUCAUCCCAUGCCCAAGAGAACAAGAAAUGCCCAGCCGGCCAACGAGUAGGAGAGCAUCGCGUCAACCUCCAGGACACCAUGCUCGUGCCACCUGUCAAAAGUCAUGGCCAUGAUCCCAUCAAAUUCCCCUAGAUACAGACAGUGAUGACAAAACCGAAUAAGCCUUCUUCUCUCUCACCCCUGCCGGUGCACCCCCUUGGUCAUUAGCUCCUGCCGAUGCCGCAUGCACAAUGCCUGUGGCUGCACCCGUUCUCUCCCUCCGCUCUGCUUUUCCAUGCACUUGGGUGUUUGUCACACACAUCCGCAAUGUGCAACAGCUCAGGAGGGUGGGACACAGCCCAGACUGGAGGCGUUGGGGAGACAUGGGGAGGCUCACUAUAGAGGCGGCCUCCCGUCCUGCCUCCUCUUUGAUCCCUUCCCUCGAGGGCCCACCGUGUGGAAAUGACCUCUGCAUCCGGCACGUGUCCGUGCAGACCUGCGCGACCCUUCAGCAGCACGUGUUGCCGCCCCUGCUGCCGGGCCUGCCUCUGGACUAGUCUCGAGGGCACGGACGGCAGCUCGUUUAUCGCCCUUUCCUCGCUCCAUAUGCAGCGUCCAGGGAGAAGCUGGGUAAACGCCAGCUGAAUUAAUGAACACCUGAGGCUCUAAAUCAAUCUGGAUCAGUAACUGUGAUUAAAGUAGCAAUAAAUAGUUAUGCAUUAAUUAGAUUAAUUAUA